rnacentral:piRNA from 1 species
CUUGGGGUAGAGCACGGGGAGAC